rnacentral:rRNA from 1 species
UGCGGAAGGAUCAUUAAAGAGUAAGGGUGCUCAGCGCCCGACCUCCAACCCCUUUGUUGUUAAAACUACCUUGUUGCUUUGGCGGGACCGCUCGGUCUCGAGCCGCUGGGGAUUCGUCCCAGGCGAGCGCCCGCCAGAGUUAAACCAAACUCUUGUUAUUAAACCGGUCGUCUGAGUUAAAAUUUUGAAUAAAUCAAAACUUUCAACAACGGAUCUCUUGGUUCUCGCAUCGAUGAAGAACGCAGCGAAAUGCGAUAAGUAAUGUGAAUUGCAGAAUUCAGUGAAUCAUCGAAUCUUUGAACGCACAUUGCGCCCCUUGGUAUUCCGAGGGGCAUGCCUGUUCGAGCGUCAUUACACCACUCAAGCUAUGCUUGGUAUUGGGUGCCGUCCUUAGUUGGGCGCGCCUUAAAGACCUCGGCGAGGCCUCACCGGCUUUAGGCGUAGUAGAAUUUAUUCGAACGUCUGUCAAAGGAGAGGACUUCUGCCGACUGAAACCUUUUAUUUUUCUAGGUUGACCUCGGAUCAGGUAGGGAUACCCGCUGAACUUAAGCAUA